rnacentral:tRNA from 1 species
GGCAUUGUGGCUGAAUUGGAUAAGCAAGGUCUCGCAAGGAUCUUCAUGGUGGUUCGAGUCCACCCGAUGCCUCAA